rnacentral:lncRNA from 12 species
GGCCGCCCAGGUGCUGACCUGCACAGGGGGUGCGGAGGGCGGGGGCUGUGGCUCGGCUGGCCGAGGGGCACGGGCGCUGCUGGGCCCCGAGCUGGUCGGAGGGGCAGGUGGGUGCCGGGCGAGGCAGGGCUGGAGGAGGGAGGUCUGGAAGCUUGUGUGGGGCUGGGGGCACCCGCUGCCACCCCGCAGCCCGCGUGGGGCCGGCUUCCCGGGGCAGGGGCUGUAGCUGCACCCCCUGCCUUCAAGGGGCAUGGAGUCUGAGAGGCCUGCAGGAACCCCCGGGAGCUGGGGGUGCAGGGGCAUGGGGGCCCUGGGGGACGGCCUGGGCGGGACUGGCUGCUGCAGACUGCUCCCCCCCCUCCCCGGGGCAGGCCCCCACUGCAGCCGCCUUUCCUCGUCACUCACCUGGGCUGACACCCCAGCCCCAGGACAGGACACACCUACAUUCCACUGAGCCACCUGAUAACAGAAGGGGUGCUGGGCGAGAGGAGACAGGAAGUGCUCAGCGCAGGGGGAGUCGGGCGUGGGUCUUGAAAGGUACAGGAAGGGGCCGAGGAGCGGAGCCGACCAGGAAGGUCUGCUGGCUUCCUGUGCAGCAUGUAACUGUGGACGUCAGCGUGGAGGAGGCCAGAGCGUGGAGCCUGGGCCCCAGCUGGGUGGGGAGCCCCGAGGCCGUUGAGCAAGGGGGGGUGACAUGGCCAAUGUGAGUCUUAGAAAGAUCACCCCACAGACCCGGAGAGCGCACGCUGUAUGGGGCUGCACCCGAGUCCAUCUUUCAGGGCAGAUUUCCGCAAGCGAGUAACGACUCUUGACCAUCUACGGCCGCGGAUGGAGCCCUGCCAGCUUGACGCUCUACUGGCCCAGGGCCUCCCUCUGGCCCUCCCCCUGCCUCUUCUGUCACCGGAACCUGACGCCCCUCCCGGGAGACCUUGCGGGACCCCCAGAACGUGCCAGGGACUCCUGAGCCCCGAGGGGGCGUCGGCCGGCCUCAGGACCCUCGCAAGAUCGCACCCACAGGUCCCAGACCAACCCCCGCUCCCACUCGGUCCUCUGUCCUCCAACCUCCUAAACCCCAGUCUGCUGGAGGCAAUCCCUCCUCACCUGCCCCCGCCGUGCCCUCUUUCUGCUCCCCCACCCCCCUCCGUCCUGGCUGGCUGCCAAGAGACAUCUGACAGGAUCCUCCCCUGCUUUAAAGCCUGCAGCAGCUCCCCAGGGCCCACAGAUCCCACUCCAGCUCCGGGGGCGCCCCUGCCCCACCCGCCCCACCCCACCUCUGCUCAGCUAUCUGCAGAUCCCCCUCCAGCGUCCCCCUCCCCGUCCCCUGCUGGAACUCAAGCACGGCCUCUUCUGCAAAGCCUGUCCUGCGGCUGCGCCUCCUCUGUAUCCCUGGCAGGCUCCCCCUCCAGCCCCACACCUCCUCCCUGCCCUGGGACAGGAGGUUGCAGCUGCCCCUGGCUCGGGCUGCGUCUGAAUCACUGGGAAGCCCUCUGGCCUCCCCAGGGCCUGCAGCAUCACCGCACCCCGUGCCUGAGCCCAGGUCAGAGAAGAGCCCUCACCAAGGGUCCACAGAAUGCAACCCUUGGCCAGGGCCUGGGCCCUAGCUGGGGCACAGCAUCCCAGAGAGGUUUAACGACUGGCUGA